GGCGCCCGCCGUCACGUGCCGCGGCCUCGCAUGGCGCCUGCGCCGUCGGGGACGGCCCGAGCGCCGCCGGCUCCUCCCCUCCGGGGCCGGCGGCGGUGCGGACGGGACGGGAGGCUUCGGGGGGGCUCUUGGCGGUGCCUCCCUCCCCCUGCUCUGCGGCUGGCCUCGGCCCUGCCACUGCGAGGGAGCCGCGCCCGGGCGGCGGAGGGGAAAGCAGACAGAUGCUUGUGA
rnacentral:lncRNA from 1 species